rfam:Brachypodium distachyon strain Bd21 chromosome 2, whole genome shotgun sequence.
UGAGUACUCCCUCCGUUUCAUAAUUCUUGUCUCAACUUUGCCUAAAAAUGGAUGUAUCUAUUCCUAAUAAAUGUCUAUUCAUAAUAAACGUCUAGAUACAUGUAAUAUUUCGACAAGAAUUAUGGAACGGAGGGAGUAGGUU